UAAUAUCUCCUAUAUAAGGAGUGUCAUUUGGUCUUGUAAGAUAAGAAGUUUUGAAUAUAACAGAAAUAUAUUCCUUCUUCUUCAUAUUUUCGGAGUUCUUCUUCCUCAUAUUUUCUAAGUGAAUCCAUCAAACCUCAAAUUUAAGAGUACACGGAUUAGGCAUAAAAUGUUCAUAUUUUUAUAUUUUUAAUCUAUUAUGUGAAAUAAAAUAAUGUUAUAUAUAACAUAUAGUGUCAAACAAGCAUUUUAUUCAUUUUAUGACAAUUAUAAAACAAUAUAUACGCAUGAUGACAGUGUCAAAUACAAAUAUACAAGUUUCUGAUGGAAAGUAGUGGACACAUCCCACACUCUUGUCCGAGUGUUAGGUGUUCAACGCAAGUAUUUGAUUUAUUUUGAAGAGUCCAUAUAACAUAGCUUAUGACAACCUUUGUUGGGUAAAGAUGGAGCUCUGGAGAAUGGUGUUUUUUUGAGAUGUUCUCUCUUUUAUUUUGAAGAAGUGCAAUAUUACUUUAUGACAGCUCAAUGCUAAGCCCCAGGUAAAUUUUGUGUGUCGACUUCGGACAACCUGAACCUAACCUCAGCUCUUUGAGAUAAGCUUGGGGUCGGGCUCAGGCUAGACUUCAGACUUGGGUAAAUUCCUCUACACUUCGGGCUGAACUUAACAGACCCUCAGCCUGCUUGGGUUGCAGCCCUAACCAUAUUGCAGAGAUCGCAUACUUCUGUUCGUUGCCUUCCAUGUUUUUCAUUGUGCAUCUUGGCUAUCUGUCUUCUUUUGAAUUAACAAGCUUCCAUAACCUAUAUGGUUUAGGCGAGGCGUGGCGUGUACUGACAAACUACUUUUGGAAUAAAGGACACCCUUCGUUUGCAAUGACUUUACAUUAAACUGAUUUAGCAUUAUCUGUAUCUAUACUGAUACCACAUUUUCUUACAUAAAAGCCCCAUUUGCACACAUGUUACGCGUUGUCGUGUCUUUCCAAUAUGCAGGUCCAGAAUUGCUACAAGAUUAAAAGACCAGCAAUGUUGGGAACUAAAACGCCUACUCCAAAGCAGAAGGACAUCAGGUCAAGGCCACCGCAGAAUUCUGGGUUGGUAAUCACUCGUGAGACGGUGGAAGAAGCUGCAAGGACUACUGCCCGCAAGGUUGCUGAAGCAGAGAACAAGUCGUCUGUGGCAGCUGAAGCAGUUAGAGAGGCAGAAAGAAUUACAAAAAUGGCAGAAGAAAACGAGUUAAUGCUACAGUUCGUGAAAGAGAUUUAUGACCAAUGUUCACUUGGCGAAGUACUUCUCUUGGCUUGAAUUUUAUCUUUUGUCAAGUUUGAUAUAAGUAAAGUCCCUUUGUAAUUUUGUAGUGUAUAUGAAGUUCAUUAGACUAGAUUACUAGGUGGAUAGUCUUCUGUCGCUGUUGUCAAAGUGAGGGACUGACUUUUUUUUGCUUGGAGAGGAAUGCGUUUGAGGUCUUGUUACAAGUAGCUUGCUAAGAUGUUUUGUGAAAACGAUAUUGGGGGCAUAUUUGGAAGUAAACUCAAUUGUGGUUAUGGUAACUUCGAUUUGUGAGAUGAUAUUGAGGGCAUAUUUGGAAGCAUAAGUCAAUUGCGAUAAUGGUGAGUUUGGCUUGUGAAGAAGAUAUUGAGGGCAUAUUUGGAAGCUUACUCGAUUGUGAUUAUGGUAAGCGUGGUCCUCCAGCAUUAUUGUUUUAAGAUCACUUGUUGGCAAGACCUUUAAUGCUUUGAUGGUAUCAUUGCUUUAAUGCUUUGAUACUGCGUUGGUUGGUUCUUUGAAAAGUUCUUGAUGGGUGAUGCUCUACUACUAUCGUUGCUUUAAUGUUCGGUGGUGUUACAUGUACCAAUUAAUGUAUCAAUUAAUGUUAUGUUAUUAUUACU